GAUGAAUGCUGGCGGCGUGCCUAACACAUGCAAGUCGAGCGGCAGCGCGGUCUUCGGACUGGCGGCGAGCGGCGGACGGCUGAGUAACGCGUGGGAACGUACCCCAAAGUGAGGAAUAACUGCCCGAAAGGGUAGCUAAUGCCGCAUAUGGUCUUCGGAUUAAAGGAUUUAUCCGCUUUGGGAACGGCCUGCGUACGAUUAGAUUGUUGGUGAGGUAAUGGCUCACCAAGUCGACGAUCGUUAACUGGUCUGAGAGGAUGAUCAGUCAGACUGGAACUGAGACACGGUCCAGACUCCUACGGGAGGCAGCAGUGAGGAAUCUUCCACAAUGGGCGAAAGCCUGAUGGAGCAACGCCGCGUGCAGGAUGAAGGCCUUCGGGUCGUAAACUGCUUUUAUAAGUGAAGAAUAUGACGGUAACUUAUGAAUAAGCACCGGCUAACUACGUGCCAGCCGCCGCAGUAA
rnacentral:rRNA from 1 species